CGUAGGGGGCAAGCGUUGUCCGGAUUUACUGGGCGUAAAGAGCGCGUAGGCGGAACGUUAAGCGGGGCCGGAAAGCCCCCGGCUCAACCGGGGAAGGGGCCGCGAACUGGCGUUCUUGAGGGGGAGAGGGGAGAGCGGAAUUCCUGGUGUAGCGGUGAAAUGCGUAGAGAUCAGGAGGAACACCCAUGGCGAAGGCAGCUCUCUGGCUUCACCCUGACGCUGAGGCGCGAAAGCGUGGGGAGCGAACGGGAUUAGAUACCCCGGUAGUCCACGCCGUAAACGAUGGUCACUAGGCGUUGGAGGUAUCGACCCCUCCAGUGCCGCAGCUAACGCACUAAGUGACCCGCCUGGGGAGUACGGCCGCAAGGUUG
rnacentral:rRNA from 1 species